GGAAGGAGAGUGUGUACUAGCUCAGUUAUCCUUAUGUUGCUAGAAGCAACAUUCACUUCAAGCUGUGUGACCCACCGGUCUGUGUUUGAUUUACAGGGCAUACCAACUUUUUCGAGUUGAUGAACCAUAUUGAUUUCAUUCCAGAUGAGAAUUAUUCAAACGUACAGGAUCACACUCUUUGACAACAAAAACUGAGCCACGCAGGGAUUUUUAAAAGAGUUUUGUGGAGGUGGGGCUGGAUCCUCUUCAACUACAUCCAAGUAUGGUGGUGUUAAGACCAGGAGAUUGAUAGCUACUUUCUCAACUCAACCCCGACUGUACAUCCACUUAGCAAGUCCACUACUAAGACUCUAUCAAGCUGAGGCUGUGGAGUCCAUUUGCAAGGCUGAGGUGGCUGAUAUUGACAAGGAUGGUGCUAUAUCCCCUGUUAUAAGUGCUCGCACAAACUGCUUCAUUGAUUCACAUCUUACUAUAGUUUAUUUAAAGUAUAGACUUCAUACAUUGAGUUAGAAAUGGUGAUUA